GCACCCCACAACGCAAAAUGGCAGCCAGCUGAUUGUUUUAAAGCAAAUUACGCGAUGUCGGCUAUCGUCAGUCCCUACACACAGGUGCGAGGCUCGUCCAGAAGGCUAAUUUGCCGUCCGGGGGUCACAGCAGUUGUGAAGAGAAGAAGGCAGAUGUCCCACGUAGAGUUAUGACUCCAGAGUGUGAACCCGCUACACUUCGGACUAUCCAUCGUUGAAGUGGCGGAAGGAUGGCCGGUCCAGUAAUUACUGAAGGUCACCGCCACUCUGCUUCUUGCAACUCGCUCCUUGCACCACUUGAGCAGAAGAG